CCUACGGGAGGCAGCAGUAAGGAAUAUUGGUCAAUGGAGGCAACUCUGAACCAGCCAUGCCGCGUGCAGGAAGACGGCCCUAUGGGUUGUAAACUGCUUUUGAACUAGAGAAAACCUUGGUACGUGUACCGAGUUGAUAGUAUAGUUAGAAUAAGCAUCGGCUAACUUCGUGCCAGCAGCCGCGGUAAGACGAAGGAUGCAAGCGUUAUCCGGAUUCAUUGGGUUUAAAGGGUGCGUAGGCGGACUGAUAAGUCAGUGGUGAAAUCUCUCAGCUUAACUGAGAAACUGCCAUUGAUACUGUUAAGUCUAGAGUACAGAUGAUGUGGGCGGAAUAUGACAUGUAGUGGUGAAAUACUUAGAUAUGUCAUAGAACACCGAUUGCGAAGGCAGCUCACAAAACUGUAACUGACGCUGAGCACGAAGUAGNGGGAGUACAACAGAUAGAUACCUACGUAGUCGCGACCGUAACGAUAGAUACUCGUUGUUGGUGNUAUGACAGUC
rnacentral:rRNA from 1 species